rnacentral:misc_RNA from 1 species
GAAUUGUCAACAAGGGUUGUUGCUGGUCCUCGAACAGGGGGACAUGUGCACGCUCUGUUCACACAUCCACUCACACCAUGUGCACCCUCUGUAGUUCCAUGGUCGGGGGGCCUGUCCUCCUGCUGUGGUUCUGCUUCUUUACACACACACUGUAACAAAGUCUCAUGGAAUGCAUGCCGCGUUUAACGCAAUACAAUACAACUUUCAGCAACGGAUCUCUUGGCUCU